GACACUAUGAGUGAAAAAACUCGAGUGAAGAUAAUUAACUCUUCUGAAGAGUCCAUCAUGUUUUUUUAAUCCUCCGUAUCCUCCUUGACUACUAGCU